AUUGAACGCUGGCGGCAGGCCUAACACAUGCAAGUCGAGCGGAUGAAGGGAGCUUGCUCCUGGAUUCAGCGGCGGACGGGUGAGUAAUGCCUAGGAAUCUGCCUGGUAGUGGGGGAUAACGUCCGGAAACGGGCGCUAAUACCGCAUACGUCCUGAGGGAGAAAGUGGGGGAUCUUCGGACCUCACGCUAUCAGAUGAGCCUAGGUCGGAUUAGCUAGUUGGUGGGGUAAAGGCCUACCAAGGCGACGAUCCGUAACUGGUCUGAGAGGAUGGUCAGUCACACUGGAACUGAGACACGGUCCAGACUACUACGGGAGGCAGCAGUGGGGAAUAUUAGACAAUGGGCGAAAGCCUGAUCCAGCCAUGCCGCGUGUGUGAAGAAGGUCUUCGGAUUGUAAAGCACUUUAAGUUGGGAGGAAGGGCAGUAAGUUAAUACCUUGCUGUUUUGACGUUACCAACAGAAUAAGCACCGGCUAACUUCGUG
rnacentral:rRNA from 1 species